AGAACGAAAGGGUUUGUAGCAAAAAUCAGUUCGUCUUCGGCGCAACAACCAGCAACAAAGAUCAUUCGAUCCUUUAACCACUCGCUCUCGUUCAAACUUACACAAUGAUCAUGAAGGUGACAUUGGCUUUUCUACUGUGUUUGGUUACUUUGACGAUUGGUGCUCCUUCAUCAACGGUCCCGCAAGUUAAUGGAGCUGCCAAUGCUGCCAUGAUAGAAAAUCAACCAGUUGACGUUGCGGCGAUCGAGUCCGCUGAUUUCGCCCAGCAGCCCUUUGAAGCCAACGAUGCCAUGGAUACUUCAGCCACUCACUACAAACGUUACUACUACCCCAACGCUUACUACUACCCUCAUUACUACCCUCACUAUUACUCUAAAUAUCACUACCCAAGAUACUACAACUACUAUUACUAGAGGGACUCCGUAUUGGCCAAUCAGUAUUGCUUUACAGCAGUAUAAAACAUCCACUACUUUUACAACACCAUCAGCAAUACUCGCCAUAGUCCUUCUCCUCCAUUGACGACGAAACAAAUAUGUUGAACUCAAUAUCACAUUGCCCUUUUUUACUCUUUGCUGUCGCAAAAUUGUUAUAAUACCGACCUUUUGGAAAAAUAAAAUCUUUUCAACCCGUGAUUAGGUAUUAACUUGGAACAUUCUAGAAGGGGUAGGACAUGAUUCUUCUGUUCUUUUUAUUUAAAGUACUUUAUAAGGCAUUUUCUUAUUUUCUACAAAGACGUGAGUCCUUGACUAGCACCACAAGGGCACGGGUGCGUUUUUAUCAGGGUACCACCCAUUACAUUUGCGAACUAUUCCUUCUCAGCUAGUGUUUUAAGCAUUAAUCUUUUUAGACAGCCCUUACCCCAACACGGAUAUGUUUAGGCUACCGCGGCCAUUGUUUCCUAACUUUUUUUUUUUUUUUUUAAACCCAACCCUUGCCAAUGCCUCCCACUAAUUUGAUACGUAUUUUAAGCCCCCACUUCAGACAAAAGUAAAAUAUGUUUCACUGAACACGGAGCGUGUCGGGUGUCGCGUUAUUGCAUUAUACUGUUUUUCUUUAAAGUUUAAAUUAAGUGAAAAGAGAAGAAAUGUCCGGUUUGUUAACGUCUUGCAAACUUGGUUUUGUGUUAGUGAUCUCUCUCCUGGUUAUGGUCCAUUCGUUUGCAAAUAACGACACCAUCAAUCUUAACAAUUUUAAUGCCGAACAAAUCUCUCUCCCAAUUUCGACUGAUGUUAAUGGUACAGUGCUAACGACUGGGCAGUCAGAAUCAGCUGCAAUCGGAAUCGGCGGAAGCUGCUUGUUCCAGCGGUUUAGAGAAAAUGUCAACACCUUCGUGAAUUUUCGCAGCGUUUUCCCUUACGUAUACAUCGCCAUAUUCCUGUUCAAUCUGAUUUUCAAUCCGUUUCUUAUCAUCUGGAUUCUGAUCUCACCAAUCGUCUUCAACAUUCUUCGCUCUACUACUACCUGCUAUAUCUUUCCGGAAAUUUCUGCUUAUCUAAAUGAUACCAUCGAUACAACUAUACUCUCUGGUGCUUAAUUGAACUCGAAAAAAAAAAUGCCGGUGAUGGUACCUUUUUUUAAAUUUUUUUCAUUUAUGAAAAUCUAAAAUCGCGUUAAAUCGUAUUGAUUACAUCUUUUUCGUUUUUUUUUGUGUGUAAAUUGUUAGUGCAACACUGUAAUAAUGUAACUUUCAAGGUAGUGUAACGUUUUGCAUAAUAUAUCGAUUUUGUCCCAUA